UGACCACCCCAGGGGAUGUUGUCCCACACAGCCAACCUUCACUGCUGCAAGCACCCACAGUGCCCAGCUGCCAAACUAGCCAGGGCCAGGAAAACAGGAGAGAUUGCUUCGAGUCUGCACUGAGAUCCACUCAGCACCAGAGAAGCCUGGCUCAAUCCUCCAGACCUCACAGUCCUGCCUGGAUGGACUUCAGGCUGGAGCCAGACUGGCCAAGGCUCUGCCUACAGAAAAAUAUAAGCAGUGAGGGAUGAUAUGUCACAAUGCAUCCCCCAGUGGUGUCACAAUCUGCUGCUCAGUGACAUCACCUUCCACCAGCAGGUGAUGUCACAAUGGGAUGUCUUUCCCUGCCAGCACUCAGUAUCAGGAGAAAAAGGGAAAGACUGUUUUCUGUUUUCAACUUCUACAUUUCUGUGUUGCUCUCUCCCUUGGCCACCUGUAUCAUGCAUCCAUGGCCUUGCGUCUUAUCCCUGCUCCUGACCCCUUGCCAAGAUUUCCUGUGAGGGGCAGAGUGGUGGGAACAAUCAGCAUGGACUGCCUGCAGCUGGAUGACACCUUCUCCUCUCACUGCCUUUCCUUGGGCUAUGCCAGGAUUUGGAGGACUUGGGUGAUCAGUGGCCAACCCUGGGUUGCAUUGAUGCUCCUCAAAAGCAUAAGCGAUGGAGCCUGGCCCCACACCUGCAAGAAGGAGCUGGAGUUGCCGUCCCUUCAGACUAGGGUAGAAGGGCUGGUGGCACCCUGCUCAUGACUCUCGAGAGCCCAGGAUCCAUCACCACCUGGGCUGGGCUGUCCCACCAUCCCUGCUACAUCUUUAGCUCCAAGGAAGCCGUGAAGGAGCAGAUCCUUGCUUAGCCAUGGAAGGAUGAAAACAUCUACAAAAAACAUUUACAGAAAGAAAAAAAAUCAGUGGUUUUCUGCAAUGGAAGAUUUGGCAGUUCUUGUUUCUUAAGGUUUGUUUUUCUUACAUUUGAAUCGUCAGUAAUUUUGCUCACUUUUUUACUGUGGAGAGUCU